UCAAGAGACUAUCUGUUCUCCAUAUAACUUCAAUCUUCUAAAGUGUCGUAAGACUUUUUUUUCUGUGGCCUAACUUAUGGAACCCUGGAGAAUGUUUUUCCAUUAGAAUCUUUAACAUUAUAGUCGCAGGUAUUCUAAAUUCCCUGUCUGAUCAUUCCAACAUCAGUGUGAUAUCUGAGUCUGCUUCUGAUGUCUGUUUUGUCUCCGAAGUCUGCAUUUUUCCUUGCCUUUUGUUCCUUCCCCUGGGGGACGCUGAAGAUCCAGAUCUGGAGACGGGAAGAUCAUCCUGGCUUGUCCAGGGUAAGUGCAAUCACAGCCAUCGUGUAAUCACACAGAAGAGGAGAAGGCGAUGGGACCAUGGAGAAGACAAAUAGACUCUCAACCGUAAGCCAGAGAAUGGCCUCCGCCGCCAGAUGCAAGGAAGCGCUUCUCCUCUAGAGCCCUCAGACGGUGGCAGUCCAGGUGCCAUUUUAGCCCAGUGACACUGAUUAUGGAUUUCUGGCCUCCAGGACACAUGGCUCCUGGCUGUCUCUUGAGGGAAGGAAAGCCUUUGCCACCUUGCCAAGCCAUCAGACUCCCACUCUUCCUUCGAGACAACAGGUGCUGAGAAAAGCACCCCCCUCAUGGGUCUGGAUGAAAUAUGCACACGCCUUGGCCAAAUGCUUACUGAAGCGCAGUGUCAUUAUAUACGACGCUGUAUAUAAUGAUCUGCUUAAAUGUCUGUCUCCCUCACUUGACUUGAGGGCAGGGACUGAUUCUGAUCUAUCUCUGUGCCUCCGGCACCCAGCGCGGUUACAAGAGCUGUUAAAUAAAUGUGAAGUAAAUGAAUGAAAAAGAAAUAAACGAGUCUCAGAAUUCUAGUCUCAUAAUUCCACACAUAAAAUCGAAGACCCUUGCCUCACAUGACCGCAAAGACGGGAGGUUCUUGGAGAAGAACUUUCUGAGGCUGUUUAUCUUUCUGACUAGCAUCCACCGUUAGUAAUGCACUUUAUGUCGCUGUCCAGUGUGAACACACACACACACGCCUAGACACACAUACACACG